rnacentral:tRNA from 1 species
GUAGCUCAAUUGGCAGAGCGUCGGUCUCCAAAACCGAAGGCUGUGGGUUCGAUCCCCUCCACUCCUGCCA